rnacentral:rRNA from 1 species
GAUGAACGCUGGCGGCGUGCCUAAUACAUGCAAGUCGAGCGAACGGACGAGAAGCUUGCUUCUCUGAUGUUAGCGGCGGACGGGUGAGUAACACGUGGAUAACCUACCUAUAAGACUGGGAUAACUUCGGGAAACCGGAGCUAAUACCGGAUAAUAUUUUGAACCGCAUGGUUCAAAAGUGAAAGACGGUCUUGCUGUCACUUAUAGAUGGAUCCGCGCUGCAUUAGCUAGUUGGUAGGGUAACGGCUUACCAAGGCAACGAUGCAUAGCCGACCUGAGAGGGUGAUCAGCCACACUGGAACUGAGACACGGUCCAGACUCCUACGGGAGGCAGCAGUAGGGAAUCUUCCGCAAUGGGCGAAAGCCUGACGGAGCAACGCCGCGUGAGUGAUGAAGGUCUUCGGAUCGUAAAACUCUGUUAUUAGGGAAGAACAUAUGUGUAAGUAACUGUGCACAUCUUGACGGUACCUAAUCAGAAAGCCACGGCUAACUACGUG